rnacentral:rRNA from 1 species
GAUGAACGCUGGCGGCGUGCUUAACACAUGCAAGUCGAGCGGAAAGGCCAGUGCUUGCACUGGUGCUCGAGUGGCGAACGGGUGAGUAACACGUGGGUGAUCUGCCCUGCACUUUGGGAUAAGCCUGGGAAACUGGGUCUAAUACCAGAUAGGACCAUGCUUUGGAUGGUGUGGUGGAAAGUUUUUUCGGUGUGGGAUGAGCUUGCGGCCUAUCAGCUUGUUGGUGGGGUAAUGGCCUACCAAGGCGUCGACGGGUAGCCGGCCUGAGAGGGUGUACGGCCACAUUGGGACUGAGAUACGGCCCAGACUCCUACGGGAGGCAGCAGUGGGGAAUAUUGCACAAUGGGCGCAAGCCUGAUGCAGCGACGCCGCGUGGGGGAUGACGGCCUUCGGGUUGUAAACUCCUUUCGCAACUGACGAAGCUUUUUGUGACGGUAGGUUGAGAAGAAGCACCGGCUAACUACGUG